rnacentral:tRNA from 1 species
ACCUGAGUGGCUCAGUGGUUGAGUGUCUGCCUUUGGCUCAGGGCAUGAUUCCAGGUUCUGGGAUCGAGUCCCACCUCAGGCU